GACGAACGCUGGCGGCGUGCCUAAUACAUGCAAGUAGAACGCUGAAGAAGAGGAGCUUGCUCUUCUUGGAUGAGUUGCGAACGGGUGAGUAACGCGUAGGUAACCUGCCUUGUAGCGGGGGAUAACUAUUGGAAACGAUAGCUAAUACCGCAUAACAAUGGAUGACACAUGUCAUUUAUUUGAAAGGGGCAAUUGCUCCACUACAAGAUGGACCUGCGUUGUAUUAGCUAGUAGGUGAGGUAACGGCUCACCUAGGCGACGAUACAUAGCCGACCUGAGAGGGUGAUCGGCCACACUGGGACUGAGACACGGCCCAGACUCCUACGGGAGGCAGCAGUAGGGAAUCUUCGGCAAUGGGGGCAACCCUGACCGAGCAACGCCGCGUGAGUGAAGAAGGUUUUCGGAUCGUAAAGCUCUGUUGUAAGUCAAGAACGAGUGUGAGAGUGGAAAGUUCACACUGUGACGGUAGCUUACCAGAAAGGGACGGCUAACUACGUGCCAGCAGCCGCGGUAAUACGUAGGUCCCGAGCGUUGUCCGGAUUUAUUGGGCGUAAAGCGAGCGCAGGCGGUUUGAUAAGUCUGAAGUUAAGGCUGUGGCUCAACCCAUAGUUCGCUUUGGAAACUGUCAAACUUGAGUGCAGAAGGGGAGAGUGGAAUUCCAUGUGUAGCGGUGAAAUGCGUAGAUAUAUGGAGGAACACCGGUGGCGAAAGCGGCUCUCUGGUCUGUAACUGACGCUGAGGCUCGAAAGCGUGGGGAGCGAACAGGAUUAGAUACCCUGGUAGUCCACGCCGUAAACGAUGAGUGCUAGGUGUUGGAUCCUUUCCGGGAUUCAGUGCCGCAGCUAACGCAUUAAGCACUCCGCCUGGGGAGUACGACCGCAAGGUUGAAACUCAAAGGAAUUGACGGGGGCCCGCACAAGCGGUGGAGCAUGUGGUUUAAUUCGAAGCAACGCGAAGAACCUUACCAGGUCUUGACAUCCCGAUGCUAUUUCUAGAGAUAGAAAGUUACUUCGGUACAUCGGUGACAGGUGGUGCAUGGUUGUCGUCAGCUCGUGUCGUGAGAUGUUGGGUUAAGUCCCGCAACGAGCGCAACCCCUAUUGUUAGUUGCCAUCAUUCAGUUGGGCACUCUAGCGAGACUGCCGGUAAUAAACCGGAGGAAGGUGGGGAUGACGUCAAAUCAUCAUGCCCCUUAUGACCUGGGCUACACACGUGCUACAAUGGUUGGUACAACGAGUUGCGAGUCGGUGACGGCAAGCUAAUCUCUUAAAGCCAAUCUCAGUUCGGAUUGUAGGCUGCAACUCGCCUACAUGAAGUCGGAAUCGCUAGUAAUCGCGGAUCAGCACGCCGCGGUGAAUACGUUCCCGGGCCU
rnacentral:rRNA from 1 species